UACGUAGGGGGCGAGCGUUGUCCGGAUUUACUGGGCGUAAAGAGCGCGCAGGCGGUCGCUCAAGUCGCGUGUGAAAGCCCCCGGCUCAACUGGGGAGGGUCACGCGAUACUGAUCGACUCGAAGGCAGGAGAGGGUAGUGGAAUUCCCGGUGUAGUGGUGAAAUGCGUAGAUAUCGGGAGGAACACCAGUGGCGAAGGCGACUACCUGGCCUGUUCUUGACGCUGAGGCGCGAAAGCUAGGGGAGCAAACGGG
rnacentral:rRNA from 1 species